CUUCACAUGGAUACUGACAGCAUUCUAUCUUGGACACCGAUACAAGCUACUUUCAAUGGCUCAGCCCUCUCAACCUGCUGAAACAUGUAGAAGAUGAUUUUUAUACGCUUCAUAUGGAACUGAGGCCAAACAUGAAGAUUUUUGUAUCUUUCAGCUCCUCAAUGGUCAAGUGUGAACCCUCCAAAACAUGAAAAUAAGCUUGUCCUCUUUGAGAUUUUAUUAGAAAAUAGCCCCUCUGCAAGUCACUGACGUGAAUAUAUACUCCAUCCUUGGUUCAAGGAUGAUGCCUCAACUUCUGGCGGUUAAAGUUGCUUGUUCCAGAGCAGGGAUUCAACUCUAAUGGUUGAGCAUCGACAUAAAAGCUUGACACAGAUUUUCCGUUCAGAGAACUGGAGAAGUGAAUCAGGAAAUCAACUAUAAUUCCUCAAUAUGCCAUGAAUGCCACAAUUUUUAUCCAUUUUUGGGUGAUUUCGAUGUCUUUGCGAUUGUUAGUUUCUCAUUGGUCGAUCAGAGAUCCAUCUCUAUUGAAGGGCAUUGUCCUGCAAGACGUCCAAUUUAAUGGCCGCAUAUUGGAUACAAUCAUUACAGUAUACUAUAUUUCGACUUCUUCGAUCCAAUUAUACUGUAAAAAUGGAAGAAGAGGAGGAGGAUGUGGUGGUGGUUUAAUUUAAAGCCCCAACUUUCUUGUACUAAUAAUCUUGCCUCCAUUCCAUUUGAUCAGUUUCUUAACCUUUGCCACAUAGGAUAUAUUGUGCAAAAGAAAUAGAAAAAACGGAUUUUGGUCAAAGAGUCACUCUUUUCUUAAUUCAAGACUUGGAGUGUCCUUUCGCCCAAGUGUGUUCUCCUAUUAGACUUUAACAGGAAUUUAUGGUUGUAAGUUGUAACUAAAUCUAACUUUUACCAUAAAUUUUGUCUAACUGGUUAGUUUUAAUUUUUGUUGCUU